rnacentral:rRNA from 1 species
AGAGUUUGAUCCUGGCUCAGGAUGAACGCUAGCGGCAGGCUUAAUACAUGCAAGUCGAGGGGUAACAUGGGUAGCAAUACCUGAUGACGACCGGCAAACGGGUGCGGAACACGUACGCAACCUUCCCAUAACUGGUGAAUAGCCUUUCGAAAGAGAGAUUAAUACACCGUAACAUAACGAAGAGGCAUCUCUUUGUUAUUAUAGGCUUCGGCCGGUUUUGGAUGGGCGUGCGCCUGAUUAGGUAGUUGGCGGGGUAACGGCCCACCAAGCCUGCGAUCAGUAACUGGUGUGAGAGCACGACCAGUCACACGGGCACUGAGACACGGGCCCGACUCCUACGGGAGGCAGCAGUAAGGAAUAUUGGUCAAUGGACGCAAGUCUGAACCAGCCAUGCCGCGUGAAGGAUGAAGGCCCUCUGGGUUGUAAACUUCUUUUAUAUGGGACGAAACCCUCGAAUUCUUUCGGGACUGACGGUACCAUAAGAAUAAGCACCGGCUAACUCCGUGCCAGCAGCCGCGGUAAUACGGAGGGUGCAAGCGUUAUCCGGAUUCACUGGGUUUAAAGGGUGCGUAGGAGGGUAGGUAAGUCAGUGGUGAAAUCUCCGAGCUUAACUCGGAAACUGCCGUUGAUACUAUCUAUCUUGAAUACCGUGGAGGUGAGCGGAAUAUGUCAUGUAGCGGUGAAAUGCUUAGAUACGACAUAGAACACCAAUUGCGAAGGCAGCUCACUACACGAAUAUUGACUCUGAGGCACGAAAGCGUGGGGAUCAAACAGGAUUAGAUACCCUGGUAGUCC